CAGAGACAUCUAUUGGUUUAUUUACUUUUAGUAUUAGAUGGCGUUAACGACAAAAAUUAGUGUUUAAUUCCUGAUCAACUCUAGCUAGACAUCUUUUUAAUUAAUCAAUGUACUGUAAUCCUGCCAAUAACUAAUUUUUCCCGGUCAAGUUUUCCUGUUUACGUCUCUAUCUAUUAAUUUAUAUAACUGGUGAAUUAAUAUGCUGAAUCAAACAAUAUGAAUCUGUGAACUCAAAUCAAGUCAACACAAAAUACAGACGACUCAACAAAACAUGAUUACAAAAUUUGAUCCAGUUUCUACCUUAAUAAGACUGAAAAUCCGUGAACUUUUUUACCUCUGUACUCACUUGAAGUUGCUAAUCAUCCGUUAAUUAUUUCAUCCAUCUUUCAGCCGUGACGUCCAACUUUCAACAACAGCUUUAUAAUGGUGUUUUUAUAAUUUUACUUGUGUUGACAUCUGUGGAUGAAUAACUUGUCAGCAUUUUAAGUGAUUAGCAGUUGAACAGAUAAAUAGGGAUCCAAAAGUUUUGUUGAUAUCCAUCUUUUAACCUUCUCUAUUUCAACAAUAUAUGCUGCUGUUAUAACCAAAGAUGACAUGGUCGAUUUAUGCCAAGCCACUGGAAAGAUUAUGCUCGCUGGGUUAACCGCGAAAACCCUUGACCAAGCAUCUAAACAUCAGCGAGAUUUGCUAGUUAAUAUUAAUGGUGAAAAUACAAGUUUGGCUGAUUUCGGAGAAUCAACUAUCGAAGCACUAGUAUCUCUUUUCACCGAUGGACUGAUCAGGAUGUACGUAGGAGCACUAUCAAUUUCCUCAGCCGCAAUUCGAGAUUUGCAAUCACUUCAAGCGAACACCAUUUCAUCGUUUUGUACCAAACUACCGUUACCAGAAUCUAUUGAUACCGAAAAUCCAGUGACAACUUUAACAACAUUGAUUAAUUAUGUCAACAGUCUAUCACCAGUUUCGCCUUCAGCUGUAAACAAUGCAACAAAUUCAAACUAAAAACAGACUCUAAUUCAGAAAUCACCCAAAUCUUCUCGAAUCAUGAUCCUUAAUAGACUUCAAUUGUGUUUAUUUUUUGCAAUGCUUGAUCAGAUAUCGUUUUAAAACUUGCUUCUUCAUGUAUCUUUUUCAGUGAUGUAAACUUCAAAGUUUUCAUUCUCAAUAAAAUUUUGUUGACAUUUUUGGGCAUUUAUGAAAA